AACUACUCCAGGUCCCCCGCUAAUUAUGUCCUCUCCAGUUGCACAUCCUUAAAAAAAGGCACUGAACCAAAUGUUAUACCUCAUAGCAAAAUGUAUUAUUAAGAGCAAUGCAUGAAGCUAAAAAACUCAACGUUAACUAUAAUCUAAAUAGUAUAAGCUAUUGAAGAAAAAAAAUGCUGCGAAAGAAAGUGUGGCAAAAAAAAAUCGUACAUGGUGAAUAUCUUGCACAUAACGAUCCCAGAAAAAAAAUUCCCUGCCAGCAGUAAAUCACCCCCCCCCCCCC
rnacentral:lncRNA from 1 species